CAUCAUGAAAGCCGUUUGUACCCGAAGUCACCCCUUAAAAGGUGCCGAAGGUAUGGAUGGUGAUUGGGAUGAAGUCGUAACAAGGUAGCCGUAGGGGAACCUGCGGCUGGAUCACCUCCUUUCUAAGGAGA
rnacentral:rRNA from 1 species